UACAGAGGGGGCAAGCGUUGUUCGGAAUUACUGGGCGUAAAGGGCGCGUAGGCGGCCUUCUAAGUCGAACGUGAAAUCCCCCGGGCUCAACCCGGGAACUGCGUCCGAGACUGAAAGGCUUGAAUCCGGGAGAGGGAUGUGGAAUUCCAGGUGUAGCGGUGAAAUGCGCAGAUAUCAGGAGGAACACCUACGGCGAAGGCAGCUCGCUGGGACGGUACUGACGCUGAGACGCGAAAGCGUGGGGAGCAAACAGG
rnacentral:rRNA from 1 species